rnacentral:lncRNA from 1 species
GUCUUUUUGUUGUUGUUGCUAUUUCUUGGGCCGCUCCCGCGGCAUAUGGAGGUUCCCAGGCUAGGGGUUGAAUCGGAGCUGUAGCCACCGGCCUUCGCCAGAGCCACAGCAACGCGGGAUCCGAGCCGCGUCUGCAACCUGCACCACAGCUCACGGCAACGCCGGAUCGUUAACCCACUGAGCAAGGGCAGGGACCGAACCCGCAACCUCAUGGUUCCUAGUCGGAUUCGUUAACCACUGCACCACGACGGGAACUCCUGUAUUUUUUAUUUUAAAAAAAAGGAUGCUGGAUGCUAUGGUCAAGUAAAUUUGGAAAAUGCUACUAAAUUGAAUUACUACACCAGGUUUUCAGAUCUUUUAAUAUAAAUCAAUGUAUGGUUAUUCCCCUAGAGAGGAACAAAGUAUACUGUGCUUUCCAAACUUAUUAGACCACAGGCUCUUUCUACUAAGAGCUUCUCCUGGGAAAAAGAUACCAUAGAAUAUACUUUGGAAAUGCUGACUACAUUUUUAUUGGGAGAAAAUAGCAGAACAUCUGGAACUUGAUAAGACACUUAAAAACCAAAAGGAAUCAACUAUUUAACAUUAGCAGAGUCACAAGGUACCAUUGAUCCCAACUAUAACUACUUAACAACCAAAACCCUGAGAGUUCUAGAUUAGAUACUUGCCUACUUUCGGGGCUCCACUAAAAUUCUGAUAUGAACCUCCUAUUGUCUCCUCCUACUCCUGAACUGCAGAUGACCAACUCCAAUCAGCAUCCCACAAUUAAAACAUACACAUACAGAGCAAAUGAGAGGUUCUGCCAAGAGGCAUUAUAGCUGUGCUUCUCAAAUUUUAAUGUGUGUACAAAAACUGCCUGGUGAUUUUGAUUAAAACACAGGUUCUGAUUAUGUGGAUAUGGGCUUGGCCCCACAUUUUGCAUUUCUGACAAACUCUCAGGAGACACCAAUGCUGUUGAACUAGGAACCUCAUUUUAGAUGAGAGUUUGGGGUACCUUAUAAGAAAAAAGAGGUCUCUAACUUAUAAGUAUCCAAUGGCUGUCCUUUGAACUCCUUUUCAAAGGUCUGAUUCUCCCAAAUGAAAACAACUAAGCUUUUACUCCUUUAUAAAAAUAGAAAUUGUAUAAAAUAAAAAGAAGAUACUAAAAUCAUUAUUACUUGCUAACAAUUCUUUUUCUUUCAUUUUUUUUUUUUUUUUUUUUUAGGGCCGCACCCACAAGUUCCCAGGUUUGGGGUCAAAUCAGAGCUGUAGCUGCCAGCCUAUACCACCACCACAGCAAUGCAGGAUCCAAGCUGGUCUGCACUCUACACCACAGCUCGUGGCAGCACUGGAUCCUUAACCCACUGAGCAAGGUCAGGGAUCAAACCACACUCCCCAUGGCUACUAGUCAUUACUGCUGAGCCACAACAGAAAUUCCACAAUUAUUUUUCAUUAGAAAGGGCAGUUUCCUGCAGAUCACCAUAAAAAUGAAUGUAUUUAUAUAAAAAUCACUUUUUUAGUCUAAAUCUUCAUUCUACUACUAUUUCCAAAUGCCUCAACCAAUGGCACAAAACACCUUGACAUCUAUGGUAAUCAGGAAUUGUCUCCACCUUUAGUGUCUUUCAAGGCUGCAACUAUUAUUGCCAUGCUUCCACCCAAAAAAGACAUAUAAAGCCAGCAUCUUUCUCAAUGAUUUACUGAAAGCAGAAGCUCGUUUUAAUAAAACCAUCCCAAAACAUAAAAUUGAUUGAACCAACUGCUGUGGUGGGCAUACACAACAGCUGAUCAAAAUUAUUCAAGAUUUUUAUUCUUACAGAUUUUCUUUGAGGCUUUGAGAAUUUUUUCCCCAGUCUAUACUUUUAUCUUGACACUGAAAUCUCUGAGCUAGAGCAAAAAGGAUUUUUAAAUCUAUGGAAUAAAGUUUUAAACAAUAAAGUAAGUCAAUUCAAAAAAAUAAUAAAUCAGAUCACAUACAAAUUAAUGCAUAUACAAAAACUAAUAACCACUUUUCUAGAAUGUAUUUUGAGUAACAAUAAUUAAAAGUUUAAACAGAGUCACCUCUCAUGUUGUCAAAAAUUGUGCGGCUUUUCCUAGGUAUAAUAGCACUGCCACUUAGCAAAGUGUUACAUCAUCACACAUGAUAUAUUACCCUGAUUCCCUACAAAGGAAAACUUAGUACAAUUAGAAAUUAUUUCUCUUUAUAACUGGAUUUCUUGAUAUUAAACAUUUUAAGAUUUUUUUAUCUCAUUAAAAAACAGACAUUUAUGGUUUCAUUGCAUAUUAAAUGAUGCCUUUGACUUUUUAUAAGAAAGUAAUUUUAUAGUAUUUUUGUCACAGUGAAGGACAAAGAUAAGCCAACUGUUUACAUUCCUCUCCUUUAUGUUGUGUCUUUGAUCACUAACAAUGCUGCGUGAACAGCCAACAGAAGGCUGACAUUUCAUAAAAUAUGCAGUGAUAAAAACUAAUACUGUAGCAUCUGGGAGCGAUAUAUAAAAUGCAGAAAUACACCUAAUAACUGUGAUCUUAAAUUACAAGUUACUAAAAGCUAAAUAAAAAGCAUACCUAGGAAUUUAAAAAGUGGCAAGACUACAAAGGGGGUUUUGUAUUCCUAUUUCUAAAAACAAAGUUUUAAAAAUAAUUUAAGUCUAUAACACUUUUCCUGCUAUUCUAUACUUAAAAGCCAGCUACCUUCUAAGAACAAGGCAUUGGUAUAAUAUACCUUUCAACAACUGAAGAAUACAUUACAACAUCAUCAUUGAAAGGUACUAUAGAAAAUGCCGAAGAAAUUUCUUUUUCUCAGAUGUUUUUAAAUGUCAAAACUGAUGAGAAAGAAGCAACAUAUCACUUUUAAGACAUGAUGCCAGACUAUCACUAAAAUAAGUUUUAAAAACUAUAAUAAUUUAAACAAAUAUACUCUUAAUGCCUGUUCUAAUACAUUUUUUCACAACCUAAGCCUUAAAUUAAAAUCCUUGGUAUAUAACAGCAAAGUAAAUUGUGCUCGAGUAUGUUUAAAUAAUUUUUUUUUUUAAUUUUAUUUUCCCACUGUACAGCAAGGGGGUCAGGUUGUUUAAAUAAUUUUAACUUUACUGCUAAACAUUUCAAUCGUGUGAAUUAUCUUUACAGCUUUCAGUUUGAUAUUCCACCUAUAUUCAUCAAAAUCACAGUCCAGCAGAAGUGUUUUCAUCAGUUUUUUUUAAUAUAUAUGCUAAGGGGAAGGGAAAAAAUAAAUGCCAUAUUCAGCACUUCAAGAAUUCUGAAUUAUACUUUACUAAAGAAAAUAUACAGCAUUAAGUAUGUGGGAGGCAAUUGUCCUUGUGCUUAUAAUUAGCAUCUGAAUUUAGGGAUUUCACUGCUUAAUGCACACCCACCCGCCUGUGAUUCUUACCAGGGCUUUUUAUGUCACUUAAUGGAGAUAAAUACUCUUUUCCCUCCUCAUAUUUACAUCAACGCUAUUUAAUUUUUUUAGAGCUGUUAUAAUAGGUUAAACAGCAGUCUCAACAUCACUCUUCAUCUCCCACUGGACAGAGAAUGGCAUUACAGGACUGAGAAUAGAGAAGGCAUAUUUACAUUCAUAAUGUUCUUAACUAUAACAUUUAUGUAAAUUAUGAUUUUACAUUUGCAAAUACAAUAAUUUUUCGUUUCACUAUAUACUUUGCAAUUCUUUCAUCGUGAACUUUCUACUGCAAUCUCAAAAAACCAUACCUAUGAAAUAUAUGAUGCUGUUCAAGCCAUUGGAAGAAACACUUAAAGCUAAAAUAAUAAUAAAUCUAAUAAUGUACUUAAUUUUAAUCUAAUCUUAUUCUCCUACAAAAGAGAGCUUUAGUACAUUAAAUAAGAACUCACAGAUUUGAGUUUAGGGAAUAUUCCUUUAAAAAAUAUUUUCAUUACCUUUUAAUUAUUUCACAUCAGUUUACAUAGCGUAUGACAUACAAAUUUACUAUAAUUGUUUAAUGUCAAAAAUGUAUGAAUCAUUCUUUCCAUUAUUUUGUCUACUGAGUUUACCCAGACUUAGAGCAAGUAUUAUAUAGUUAGAAGAAAACAAUUGUUUUACCAUUUGAAAAUCUAUGAUUUCAAGAAUAAUUUACCCUAUCAAAUUAUUUUUAAGUUAAGAAAAAUUAUACAUACCAAAAAUAGCAGAGGAAAAAAAGAAGGCAAUUUUCUGAUUUUUCACCUGUCAAAAAAAAUGGCAAACCACAUCUCUCAAUUGUAAUUAAACAGGUAUCAUUAAAUUAGCUGUAUUCAUCUCUCCCUUCUAGGAUAUACGGCCCAUGUAUAUAGGGUCCAGACCUCUUUUAACUCAUUAUCAACAGAGCUUGGGUAUAGGUAAUCAAUUAAUAUUUAUAGAAAUAAUGAGAAAAUAUCAAUUUAUCACCUGAUAUUUGUAAUGAAUGACACUUAGUCCAAAAGAGAGAUGUAAAGAAAUACAACAAAGUCCCUGAUCUCUUGAUACUUAAAAUCCAAUUAGCAACACAGAACCUAGACCCAACCACAAACAAGUAAUAGAGAAAAAGUACUAAAUAGAAAGUGUCUUGUGAGAGGCAACAAAUCAAAAUAGGAGUUCAGAAGAGGAUGAGGUCACAGCAGACCAUACUGUUCAGGAGGAUUUCACGGAGUGUGCAGGACAGGAGCUGCAAGUUAGGGGAAAAGUGUGUAGGUUUUAGAUGAGCAAAAUGAAAAUAUUAGCAACAUCACAGGGCAAAAAGAAGAGAUUAAAAAAUACAGUGAAGUGAGGAAGGAUAUGCAAAUGUAGGAAGGUUCCCAGCAUUUGUUGGGACUGUCUUGACAGAAAUGGGAGAACUGUUGUUGCUCACUAGUGGAAGAUAAGGUUAAAUGGUAAAUUAGGACAACUUUAUGAGAGAAUCUUGAAAAUCAGGUUAGAGAUUCCAAGUUUCAAUCUUCAGCCAUUAAACAUUCCUAAGCAGGAGAAUAACAGAGUAAAAGCAAUGCUUUAAGAAGAUUAAUCUGACAAUAUACAGUAUGGAUUUGAGGAACAAGGAUAUCAAAUACUUCAGAUUUGAGAACAGCAAAAACUUCUGAAGUAUUCCAGGAAUAAGGCUGUAGAAGAGUGGAUGAGGCCAGCUUUUGAGAAUGGCAAGUAACUGGCAGGAGCAAAAACUACUAAGACUACAAAGCUAAUUAGAUAUGAGGGGCAAGGGAGAUGGAGACUGUCAAGUCCUAGGUCAAAGAUUAAAAACCCUAAAGCAGAGUGAGAGGGAAGCCAAGAAUGGCUAAAUUUUGCUGGGAGAAGACAGGUCAGGGGCAAAACGAUGCUGUUGGUUCUUCCAGACAGUCAUGGUGGUAGGAGGCAAAGUAUUCAAGACAGUAGGAAAUGGAGAGAUGGAAACAUGAGAGUGAGGUCAAAUUUGGAGUUUUCUUCCAAGGGCCUUUUUUUCUUUCUUUCUUUCUUUUUUUUUGGGGGGGGUCACCCCAAGGCAUAUGAAGUUCC